rnacentral:rRNA from 1 species
AGUGAACGCUGGCGGCGUGCUUAACACAUGCAAGUCGAACGAUGAACCGGAGCUUGCUCUGGGGAUUAGUGGCGGACGGAUGAGUAACACGUGGGCAACCUGCCCCAGACACCGGGAUAACCAUUCGAAAGGAUGGCUGAUACCGGAUACGACCACUUCGGGCAUCCGAUGGUGGUGGAAAGGAUUCUGGUCUGGGAUGGGCCCGCGGCCUAUCAGCUUGUUGGUGGGGUAAUGGCCUACCAAGGCGACGACGGGUAGCCGGCCUGAGAGGGGGACCGGCCACACUGGGGCUGAGGCGCGGCCCAGACUCCUACGGGAGGCAGCAGUGGGGAAUAUUGCGCAAUGGGCGAAAGCCUGACGCAGCGACGCCGCGUGAGGGACGAAGGUCUUCGGAUUGUAAACCUCUUUCAGCAGGGAUGAAGCGAAAGUGACAGUACCUGCAGAAGAAGCACCGGCUAACUACGUGCCAGCAGCCGCGGUAAUAC